GAUGAACGCUGGCGGCGUGCUUAACACAUGCAAGUCGAACGGAAAGGCCCAAGCUUGCUUGGGUACUCGAGUGGCGAACGGGUGAGUAACACGUGGGUGAUCUGCCCUGCACUUCGGGAUAAGCCUGGGAAACUGGGUCUAAUACCGGAUAGGACCACAUUUUGGAUGGUGUGGUGGAAAGUUUUCGGUGUGGGAUGAGCUCGCGGCCUAUCAGCUUGUUGGUGGGGUAAUGGCCUACCAAGGCGUCGACGGGUAGCCGGCCUGAGAGGGUGUACGGCCACAUUGGGACUGAGAUACGGCCCAGACUCCUACGGGAGGCAGCAGUGGGGAAUAUUGCACAAUGGGCGCAAGCCUGAUGCAGCGACGCCGCGUGGGGGAUGACGGCCUUCGGGUUGUAAACUCCUUUCGCUAGGGACGAAGCGCAAGUGACGGUACCUGGAGAAGAAGCACCGGCUAACUACGUG
rnacentral:rRNA from 1 species